CAACGUAUUUAUGUUCAUAUUUUGGAACAUGUGACAAACAAAUGCUAAGAUGAAUGAGAAGAUAAAUCAGUUCUUGUGAAUCUUUGGCUGUGGUAGAAUAAUGCCCCUCCAACGACUGUACAAUGACCACAUAAUCAAAACCUCUGAAUAUUACCUUGCAUAAAAAGAGCUUGACUGAUAUAAGGCAUGGCCCUUAAGUGAGUGCAGGUAGUCUGAAACACACAGCUGGGGCCAAUCUAAUCACAUGAGUGCUUAAAAGCAGGGAAGCAUCUCCAGCUGGAGGAAGAAGUGGAGGACGGUAGUGAGAAACAGCAGAAGCAAAAGGGAGAGUCCGAGAGUCUGAGAAGGAGUCUACCUAUCAUUUCAUGGAAGGAACAGUGGUCCAAAAGGUAUUGGAGGCACCUGGAGAUUAUGAGAAUAAACACGGGCAACUUCUCAGGACUAAACACUGCUCACCAACUAAAAACCAGCAAGGACUUCAGUCUCAGGAAAUGAACGCCUUCACAAGCAGGAGUUUUGGAAACACAUUCAUUCCUUCCCAGAGCCUCCUGAAAGGGACAGAACUUGAGUGUCACCAAUUCUGGCCUUCUGAGAGCCUAAGCAGAAGAGCAGCUGAGCCCACCUGGAUUUCUGACUUGCCUGACCUCCAAAGGAGAUUAGAAGAUGGUAAAAAGACUAGAGAGAAAGAAGGGAAAAGAGAGGCAGCAGGGAGAUGAGACCUCUCUGAUGGUGGCAUACAACAUGAAGGCUCAUGGGGCACAAGUGUAGACAUUUUUUUAAAGAGCAACAAUGAUUAACCUGCCUAUUUGGACAGCUGCUGCAGUAAAUUCAGGAGACUGACAGGGCUGAAGACACCAGCACAUCCGCAGAUGAAACUUCAGUCAGUUAAUCAAGGUUUAUUAACUGUCAUGUGCAAUAAACCAGUUGGCAUGUUGUUCAAAAAA